GACGAACGCUGGCGGCGUGCUUAACACAUGCAAGUCGAACGGAAAGGCCCUGCUUUUGUGGGGUGCUCGAGUGGCGAACGGGUGAGUAACACGUGAGUAACCUGCCCUUGACUUUGGGAUAACUUCAGGAAACUGGGGCUAAUACCGGAUAGGAGCUCCUGCUGCAUGGUGGGGGUUGGAAAGUUUCGGCGGUUGGGGAUGGACUCGCGGCUUAUCAGCUUGUUGGUGGGGUAGUGGCUUACCAAGGCUUUGACGGGUAGCCGGCCUGAGAGGGUGACCGGCCACAUUGGGACUGAGGUACGGCCCAGACUCCUACGGGAGGCAGCAGUGGGGAAUAUUGCACAAUGGGCGGAAGCCUGAUGCAGCAACGCCGCGUGCGGGAUGACGGCCUUCGGGUUGUAAACCGCUUUCGCCUGUGACGAAGCGUGAGUGACGGUAAUGGGUAAAGAAGCACCGGCUAACUACGUGCCAGCAGCCGCGGUGAUACGUAGGGUGCGAGCGUUGUCCGGAUUUAUUGGGCGUAAAGGGCUCGUAGGUGGUUGAUCGCGUCGGAAGUGUAAUCUUGGGGCUUAACCCUGAGCGUGCUUUCGAUACGGGUUGACUUGAGGAAGGUAGGGGAGAAUGGAAUUCCUGGUGGAGCGGUGGAAUGCGCAGAUAUCAGGAGGAACACCAGUGGCGAAGGCGGUUCUCUGGGCCUUUCCUGACGCUGAGGAGCGAAAGCGUGGGGAGCGAACAGGCUUAGAUACCCUGGUAGUCCACGCUGUAAACGGUGGGUACUAGGUGUGGGGUCCAUUCCACGGGUUCCGUGCCGUAGCUAACGCUUUAAGUACCCCGCCUGGGGAGUACGGCCGCAAGGCUAAAACUCAAAGGAAUUGACGGGGCCCCGCACAAGCGGCGGAGCAUGCGGAUUAAUUCGAUGCAACGCGUAGAACCUUACCUGGGUUUGACAUGGAUCGGGAGCGCUCAGAGAUGGGUGUGCCUCUUUUGGGGUCGGUUCACAGGUGGUGCAUGGCUGUCGUCAGCUCGUGUCGUGAGAUGUUGGGUUAAGUCCCGCAACGAGCGCAACCCUUGUUCACUGUUGCCAGCACGUUAUGGUGGGGACUCAGUGGAGACCGCCGGGGUCAACUCGGAGGAAGGUGGGGAUGACGUCAAGUCAUCAUGCCCCUUAUGUCCAGGGCUUCACGCAUGCUACAAUGGCUGGUACAGAGAGUGGCGAGCCUGUGAGGGUGAGCGAAUCUCGGAAAGCCGGUCUCAGUUCGGAUUGGGGUCUGCAACUCGACCUCAUGAAGUCGGAGUCGCUAGUAAUCGCAGAUCAGCAACGCUGCGGUGAAUACGUUCCCGGG
rnacentral:rRNA from 1 species